rnacentral:rRNA from 1 species
UACGUAGGGUGCGAGCGUUAAUCGGAAUUACUGGGCGUAAAGCGUGCGUAGGCGGUUCGUUAUGUCUGCUGUGAAAGCCCCGGGCUUAACCUGGGAAUGGCAGUGGAAACUGGCGGACUUGAGUGUGGCAGAGGGGGGUGGAAUUCCGCGUGUAGCAGUGAAAUGCGUAGAGAUGCGGAGGAACACCGAUGGCGAAGGCAGCCCCCUGGGCUAACACUGACGCUGAGGCACGAAAGCGUGGGGAGCAAACAGG